rnacentral:rRNA from 1 species
UCAUAACGACUCUCGGCAACGGAUAUCUCGGCUCACGCAUCGAUGAAGAACGUAGCAAAAUGCGAUACUUGGUGUGAAUUGCAGAAUCCCGUGAACCAUCGAGUUUUUGAACGCAAGUUGCGCCCAAAGCCAUCCGGUUGAGGGCACGCCUGCUGGGCGUC